AGCGAAAGCGAAAGGACGAGAAAUUGGGAAUUCCGGGAAAAGAAAUCCAGCAAAGGAGAGGAGGAGAAAGAACCCAUGAUCCGCUCUGAUCUUUGCUUCGACGGAAUCUCCAAUUCUUCUGCUCUCUGCCAACCGAAGAAUUGACACAAAGCGCCCAUCUGAAGUUUCACACAGUAGCUGUUAAACUUGCGCUAGCUCCACUGGAAUACGAAGAAGAAGAAGAAGCAGGGCGACUUAGCAGAGUGGUAGAAGAGAAAAGAAGCUAAAAAAAUUUGUGGGAGUGUGAAGGAAUGGGUCUUCUGUACGAAGAUUUCGUGGUCAUUAGGGAAGCCGAGAAGGUCGGUGAUCGGACUGUGAUUACUGUAAACUGUCCGGAUAAGACAGGGUUGGGAUGCGAUUUGUGCAGGGUAAUUUUGCUGUUUGGCUUGAGCAUUGCAAGAGGAGAUUUAUCAACAGAUGGGAAAUGGUGCUACGUUGUGCUGUGGGUGGUGGGAAAACCAAUAGGUCGAUGGAGUCUGUUGAAGAAGAGAUUGAUGGAGGUUUGUCCUUCCUGCUCGUUGGCGGCCGGCGGCAUUUAUUAUUACCGGCCGGAGUUUCAGCCUCCGAGGCCGCCGGCGGUUUUCCUUUUGAAGUUCUGGUGUUCUUCUGCUUGCGAAGGCCGUUUACACGAUGUUACUGAGGUUUUGUGCGAGCUAGAGCUUACAAUAAGAAGAGUGAAGGUAUCCACUGCCCCAGAUGGGAGAGUAUUGGAUCUCUUCUUCAUCACUGACACCAGAGAACAACUUCAUACCAAACAGAGACAGGAGGAUACAGUCAAUCAUUUAAAAGAGGUGAUAGGGGAUGCGAUGAUAAGUUGCGAGAUUGAAUUGGCCAACCUAGAACUCGCCUCAUGUUCUCAGGGUUCAGCAUUUCUUCUAUAUGCAAUCACAGAUGACUUGUUCAGUUUAGAGCAACCCAAUGAACACCAAAGUGGAUCCACUGCUUCCAGCACGGUAGCUGUUAGCAUGGACAACACCCUCAGCCCAGGUCAUACACUUCUGCAAAUCCAGUGUCUGGAUCACAAAGGUCUCCUGUAUGAUGUCAUGAGAACUCUAAAGGAUUACAAUAUCCAGAUUUCAUAUGGGCGAUUCUUCGCAAACCCCAAAGGGAACUGUGAGUUAGAAUUGUUUAUCACACAAUCGGAUGGCAAAAAGAUAAUGGACCCCAACAAGCAAAAUGCACUGCAAUCUCGGGUAAGAAUGGAGCUCUGUCGUCCUCUCAGAGUGGCUGUGGUUAGCCGAGGCCCUGAUAUUGAGUUGCUGGUAGCAAAUCCUGUUGAAUUGUCUGGAAGGGGCCGACCCCUUGUCUUCUAUGAUAUUACACUUGCUCUCAAAAUUCUCAACAUUAACAUAUUUUCGGUGGAGAUAGGGAGGCACAUGAUUCUGGGACGAGAGUGGGAAGUAUAUAGGAUCCUGCUCGAUGAAAGGGAUAGUUUUUCGGUGCCAAGGAACAAGAUUGAAGAGGGUGUUAGGAACAUGUUGAUGGGUUGGGAUUAGGGUUAGAUACCCAACUUCAGUUGGGAGCUUAUUACACCACUGUACAGCAUACUUUUUAGUGUUGGACCAAACAAUAGUGCUAAGAGGAAACAUGCAUAAUGGACCAUAUAGUUGCACACGGUGUCAUGAUCAAUAGAACGCUCAAGAUUUGGCAAUUUCCUUGAAGCACGCAGCACGGAUGGUUCAUGGAAAGCGCUGUGAAUGUGCCCUUGGGAGGGAAUGCUUUUGCAUUUUUCCAUAUGCUAGAAAUGUGAGGCAAUGGCUAAUUGGAGUGAAUAACUACAAGUGGCAACACUGGAACACAUUCAGUAUGUUGGAUAGAAAAUAUGCAUUUUGGUGAUUGCUUUCUCAAGCUGCAACUUGAUUGAUUAACGAGAAUUUCAGUUUGUUUCCCAGGAAUAUGUGAAGUCGCCAUGUAUUUUUCACCAUUUUUUCCACUUAACUUGUCCUUCACCUAGAUUAAACUAUCAGAGCAUUUUCCUUGCAUU